rnacentral:lncRNA from 1 species
GAAAACCUUCCCAGAACCAGCUUUAUAAUAACUACAUCUGGGUUACAUUAAAUAGUCUUUGGCACAUAAAAUCCUUCACAUGUGCUGUUCCAUACCCUUUCCCUGCCUGGAUAUCUGGAAUGAAGACAACCCCCACGGCGACCUUGGGAACCAUGUAUGAAGAAGACAGAACCUCUGUUAGCCUGGGUUCUGAAUGGCUGCAGGGUGAAGGUCACUCUGAUCACUUGCUCGCCUGCCUAAUACAGUUAUGUGAACAGAAAUACAUUUUCAACAUAGUGUGGAUAGAUUGAGUCUGUACUUACUGUGCAGAUAGUAUGCCAGUUGUUCUCUGAAGGAAUUUGGAUGCAAUUACAGCCUGCAACUCUCUGGAACCCAGGAUGAUAGCCACAACCGACAGCUGCACGCAGAGUAAGUGAAAUAUCCUGCGCAAGUGGAUCCUCACUUCUUUCCAGUCAUUCCUAAAUGUACACUGCUGUGGCCUGUGAUGAAAUAUGAAGAAUGUCUAAGGAACCGUGUCUCCUGAAAGUUGCAGAUAACAACCCAUCAACUGCAAAAAUCAUGUCUAUUGUCGGAACAGUGAAGAAAAAACACAGGGAACUACAGAGCCUUUCCUGCCUAAAAUUGUACAGGAGGUCAAGAACAACAGUCUUGUCAUGUUUGCCUUCCUGUCCCCAGUACUUGGCACUGUGCCUGGCAUGAGGUGGGUACUGAGCAAAGAACUGGUUAUCCAUUAAUGUUGAAUAUGCAUUAUUCAUAUGCAUUCAUGU